CUUUAUUCAAUCAGCUGCUUACAAUGAAUAUAAUCAAUUUUUACUUCUCAUCCACAAGUAUGGAACAAACAUUAAGAAUAUUAUCAUUUUUAUAUUAUAGGAAAAUAAACGAUUAAAAAAUUACUAAUCAAAUACAAGAGCUACACAAAAUACAAUUUAAAGGAAUACAAUAUUAUUACCGUAUAUGAAAAGAAUCACAUGAACAAAAUAAUACAGUGUACUUUAGCAUAUACAUUUUUAAAUGUUAUUAGAAAUUAUCAACUAGGUUUACAAAUUUAAAAAAAUAUAAUUUGCAUUCUGACAUUAAAAAAAAAUUCCAACCUUUUCUUUGGAAGCCAACUACACCUCUCAACCGUGCAACACAACACAGAAGAGUUUAUAUAUGAACUACUUUCCCACCCUGUGUAACAAAACUCAAUGAGUUUGGAUGAUUAUUUCAGCCCCCAAACUCUGUAACACAAGUAGGGCCUACUGUAUCUUCAGCUUUUUCUUAUCACGCACUCAUAAUUUAAAGAAUACAAAUUUUAUUCUCCAUAAUAAAGUGGAGUUGUGUUUUUCAUUAUAAACUUGAUUUUAUUCAGCAACAAAAUAGAAAUGCUGUAUACAUGCAUGAAAAUAAAUGCAUGUGUGGGAGUCGCACAUUGUACCUGGGGUUAGGGAGUUCAGUUAGUGUUAAGUCUAGCAUUUUGCAAGAUUUGAACUAAAGACCAUAGGAUUAAAGAACAAACACCUCAAUCGUCAAGCCACAUGUAUACUCCAGUAACAAAAUCUAUACGGAAAGAAGGCUUCUGAAACAUUUUAACUAACAUUAUACAAAUGUAUAUAUUAUUAGACUCAUUGCUUACAAUUUACUGAAAAAUAAUCGUACAAACCUAUUAAAUAAUCCAAAUUCUAUCAAGGGUUGAUGUGAAUGUAAAACAAAAUCACAAAAAUAAAACAAAAAAAAAACAAAAAAAAAAACAAUAAAAAACAUUAAUAAGCCAAGAAUAAAAAAGUCUAUACAAGUCUAUUUACUAACAUACAGUAUACACCAACUCGCAUUCGUGAGCCUUGGGUUUGAAUCCCAAACACACUUUUUUCCUUUAUCUCUAAAAUCAUAAAACUUUUAAAAAGUGUUAUACCUCCAUUGAUACAAAUACCACUUCACUUAUAAAUGCAGAUGUAGUGAUGUUUUUCUGUUAACCAUUAAAAAUGACCCUCUGAAAUCAGAUGCAUUAGCAAGUAAUUCGUUGAAAACUAUUCUAUGAUUUCAACUGUUUCUGCCACCUUUUCUGAUGAUAAUCUCAAGUUAAUCUUGAUUCAAUUUCUUGGGUUAAGUAAUUGUUCUCCACUUAUAAUUGAUGAAUACCAUCCACAAAAAAUUGCAAAUGUGAUUAUUUUUUCUGUUAACCAUUAACCAGUAAAUAUGACUUUCUGAAAUCAGAUGCAUUAGCAAGUAAUUCACUGAAAACUAUCCUUUGAUUUCAACUGUUUGCUCUGUUGCAGUCCUUGGUGCAGUCUUGAAGAUCUGGAAUAAAGAGCUUAGUUACCUUUUCUGAUGAUAAUCACAAGUUAAUCCUGAUUCAAUUUCUUGAUUUUAGGUUAACACACAAUAACGUAUUUGUAGUCAUUAUGUUUAAAAUCAAAAUGACCAUAAUUCUGAUGGACAUGCAGUAUAAACCUCUUAUGUUCAAGGCUCAGUAGAGAUGACAAAGGAAGUGUUUUCGUGAUUCAUUUGAGACUGGCAUUAACUGACAUUUGAUGGAUUCUUUGGAUUACAAUACUUGAUCCUCCUUUUCAGCUUCAAUUUUUAUUUCUUGAAGCUCUGUCCAAAAUAUAAAAUUUUCUUUGACACAAAACUGUCAUGAUGUGCCUAUAUAUAGUCAUGAUGUGCCUUUAUAUGGUCAUGAUGUGAUGUCAUCAUGACCAUAUUUAGGCAUGUCACAUGUUUUUGUAAAAUCAAAUUUUAUAGUCUGGACUGGGCUUUAGGUGUUCAAUUAUAGUUUGACCAAAAUAUUAUUGAGUGUUAUUUCAAAUUCACAAUAAUAUAGUAAAAUAUGCAUUUUCAUU